UACAGAGGGGGCGAGCGUUAUUCGGAAUUAUUGGGCGUAAAGGGCGCGUAGGCGGUGCUGUAAGUCUGUGGUGAAAUCUCUGGGCUCAACUCAGAGUCUGCAGGCGAAACUGCCGUGCUUGAGGACUGGAGAGGAGACUGGAAUUUACGGUGUAGCGGUGAAAUGCGUAGAUAUCGUAAGGAAGACCAGUGGCGAAGGCGGGUCUCUGGACAGUUCCUGACGCUGAGGCACGAAGGUCAGGGGAGCAAACGGG
rnacentral:rRNA from 1 species